GAUCAUGGCUCAGGAUGAACGCUAGCGGCAGGCUUAACACAUGCAAGUCGGAGGGGCAGCAUAAUGGAUAGCAAUAUCUAUGGUGGCGACCGGCGCACGGGUGCGUAACGCGUAUGCAACCGUACCUUUAACAGGGGGAUAACACUGAGAAAUUGGUACUAAUACCCCAUAAUAUCAUAGAAGGCAUCUUUUAUGGUUGAAAAUUUCCGAUGGUUAGAGAUGGGCAUGCGUUGUA
rnacentral:rRNA from 1 species